GAUGAACGCUGGCGGCGUGCCUAACACAUGCAAGUCGAGCGGAGCUGCUUUGAUGAAGUUUUCGGAUGGAUUUAAAACAGCUUAGUGGCGGACGGGUGAGUAACGCGUGGGUAACCUGCCUCACACUGGGGGAUAACAGUUAGAAAUAGCUGCUAAUACCGCAUAAGCGCACAGUUCCGCAUGGAACAGUGUGAAAAACUCCGGUGGUGUGAGAUGGACCCGCGUCUGAUUAGCCAGUUGGCGGGGUAACGGCCCACCAAAGCGACGAUCAGUAGCCGGCCUGAGAGGGUGAACGGCCACAUUGGGACUGAGACACGGCCCAAACUCCUACGGAGGCAGCAGUGGGAAUAUUGGCACAAUGGGGGAAACCCUGAUGCAGCGACGCCGCGUGAGCGAAGAAGUAUUCGGGUAUGUAAAGCUCUAUCAGCAGGGAAGAAAAAAUGACGGUACCUGACUAAGAAGCCCGGCUAAAC
rnacentral:rRNA from 1 species